AUGCAACAGAUCCUCAGUGUUGCAAGGGGCAGUGUCAAACUGUCCCCCUGCAAGAGAGACACGUGGGCAUUCCCACCAGGCCCAAAGUACACGGAAUACACGGGAUUCUUCAGUUUUUGGCGUGUGGUGGCAUGGUGUGGCCAUUGUGGUGAGCGGGGAACACUCACCAGCAAUAAGAUGCUGAUAGAAGGGAGGACCAGAUCAAGGGAGCAACAAGAUGCCAUUGGGACCCUCGGGAUACUUUGUGAAAAUUGGACAUCCAACAGGAUUAAAUGAGAUGAAGGUGAAUGGGGAGCAACUUGUGAUGGAAGCAACAGAGAAGGAUUACACCAGUCUGCAGCCUCUACACCUGUGGAAGUGCAGGAUGAACCCAGAAAGGACAUUGCUGAGCAGUGAACAAGCCCAUCCCGUUUUCUGACAUCUGAGCCACCCUUUAGGUCUCUUAUGGUAAUGGUAUUUGCUAAGUCUCCUAGUUUUCCAGUCUUUUAAUUUCUUUUAUUAGAAGAUAAGAGUCUAAUCCAAGAAAGGCAACAUUCACAAAAAAAAUUUCAGAGUAAAACAAUUUGACUAAACUCUCAAAAAACUCUUUAGUCUUGUAAAAACAUCUAAGCAAUUGUAAAUGUUGACAUUAUGGCAGAAUGGAAGACAGAUAUUAGCUAGUAAAUGUGGUUCAGGAAUAAUCAGUUAGGGUGUAUGUUAUUGCAAAGAUAAAAUUUAGGUCACCAGUUACACUGUCAUUAUAUCUAAUUUUUUUCCACCGCUCCAAUCAGUCUUGAAGGUGUUCAUACAUAAAUAAGCAUAGAAACCUGAAAUUUCAGAUUUAUCAGAAAGUUCUCUUCUGAUCUGACAGACUAAAACAUAUUAAAGGUAGAUGUAAUUCAUCAUCAAAGGCUCAUAUACUGAAGUAUGGUGUACUGAUAAUGAAAAUUUAUGUGGCUUGUAUUGCUAAACGUAAUUAUCAGAAAAUUAUACUUAAUUUAGUCUGUAUACUGAAUAAAAGCGUUAGGAGGCAUUUCA
rnacentral:lncRNA from 1 species